rnacentral:sRNA from 1 species
AUCGACCUCACAGGGAGUCGUCUCCGGACUGACCACGGAUGGACUGGCAGUCUGUAGAGAUGGUGAAGAAGGUCGGUGCGGAUGUCGCCCGGCCUUUUUCGUU